CAAAUUAUGGGUGAAAUGUCCCAACUGCCGGAAGGUGAAAGUGUUCUGUGAUGUAAAAUUUAGGUCACACUCUAUAAAGCUUCUCCUUAUUCUAUGUGUGAACAGCUAGUCUGUAUCUUCACCUAUGCAUAUUUAAAAAUCAACCUUACGAAGGCUCUUGGCCACCAUAAUCCUUCCUACCCUGUAGCAAGAGCCCAGCCUCAGACUAUGUUUCCUUCUGCCUCCGAGUGCAAUGCCUUCCCCCGAGUCUCCAAGGUACCAAACCGGUCAGGGGCAGCUGAGACAGCUCUACUUGUACGAGUCCUCCCCAAGCCCUUGAAAUCACAGGCAUCUCUGCUGUCCCUGCCCUUUAUCCACAUCACUGAACAAUUAAGCACACACAUCUGUGUAGUUUUAUUUAAACUGUUCCAUGUGUGUUUGUUUACAAUUAACAACAUGAAUGACUGCAGUAUGGAUGCAGCAGAAAGGAAUGCUGAGGGAGGACUCCAGUUGGAAUGAGCCACUUUUCCAGGACUAGGAAUGAACUUUCCCCAGUACCAACAAGGCAGCCUCCAGGGCAAGAAAUGGUAACAGAAUCCAUCCUGUUGACAGUCAAGAUGGAAUUACAGAGAAUUCUCACCUCUUUUUUGACUCUCAGGUGGAAACCCCCUUCCCAUGGGGUGAAGCGCAGUCUGCUCCAGAGACCCACUGUUAGGGUCGGGGAUGUCACAGAAAUUAACAGGGCAGCCAAUUCCCAUCCAGAGGGGCCCAGGAUGACCCCGAACCCUCUAGCUCAGCCCCAAGCUCGGGCCAGGGAGUGAAGCCUUUGUCCCCAAGCAACAGAGUGAGGGUCUGUCUCUAACCCGGUGGGCUCCAGUGAAAGGAAAAUGGCCUGGAGGUGCCCACAGGAGGGCGCCCUAGUUCUGAGACAGGUCUACGGCUCCCAGACUGCGUCCCCAUGAGUAACAGAGGGACACGCAGAGGGGCAUACUGAGUGCCUAUAGGGGACUCACAGACUGCAGAUGCACGCUGCGGAUCCAGAAGCCGGUCAGGUAAUGAGGUGCAGAGGUGUGGGGAAGACCUGGGUGCUUCCCUGGGUGCCAACCAGCCUAACCCGCCGGGGCCACCAAACAGAAGUGCUUCUGACAUUAACGCGACACACAGAAGGUGUGUAGGGUGGGUAGUGGAAGUGACCGCAGAGGCCUCUGGGGAUUGUAGUUUUGGAGCUAGAGAGGCGGGCAAGCAGUUGGCUUCGCCCACACGGUGUGCCUCUCACAUCUGCACAGCGCACACAACCAAGCUUAGGAGCCGACUGUUAAGAUGCCCCAGUGACACGGACAAGUUUCUCCUCUGCAACCCAAUGAGAGCUGCUGACCACGAGAGCAUCGCGGGACCGCCAAAGGAUUCUGGAAAAUGUGGUCCCGGGUGGCCAGUGUGCGCUGACCUUCACCUGAAGGUGAGCUGAGCUCACCAUGCAAGUCUCCACCCUGGGGUGCCCUUCCCCAAGCAGAUGCCAGGUUGGGGCAGAAGCAGUUCAGGGAGAAGCGAUGCGCUCCUGGGACUGCCGGUUUGGGGGGCAACAUCGGCCCUGUGUCCCCUAGAGUAGGAGGGUGUACCAGGAUGGGGAACCCCAAGGCCGUUUUCAGGGAGAACAAGAUUGGCUUGAGGCAAACUCCCGGAAUGGAGAUGGGGAGAGUCUGGUCGCAUUUCCCCAGGAGUUUAGGGGAUGAAGGCUGGACUUGGGUGAACAGCAAAAGAUCCCCUGGUGAUAGUGGUGGUGAGGAUCAGAGGCUUGAGCCAGAAAUUCCCGAGGUGUUUGUUUGUUUUGUUUUUUUUGAGACAGAGUCUUGAUCUGUCUCCCAGGAUGUAGUGCAAUGGCAUGCUCUUGGCUCAUUGCAACCUCCGCCUCCCAGGUUCAAGCGAUUCUCCUGCCUCAGCCUCCCAAGUAGCUGAGAUUAUAGGCACCUGCCACUGUGCCCACCUAAAUUUUUUUUGUUUUUUUGUAUUUUUAGUAGAGACGAUGUUUCACCACAUUGCCCAGCCUGGUCUCGAACUCCUGACCUCAAGUGAUCCACCUGCCUCGGCCUCCCAAAGUGCUGGGAUUACAGGCAUGAGCCCCCACACCCAGCUCAUUUUUAUCUUUUAACUUAAAGGUUUUUAUUUUUCUCUAUUUUUACUCUUACAGGUACGGCUUGAAGGAAACUUCUGGAGGGUGGGGUGGUGUUGAAGAGAAGGCACAAUUGUCACCAUUUUGUUCAACAUGGGCGUUUUCUUUGUGCAUUGAUUUGCAUUUUUAAAGGUAUUCCAUUAAAAAUAUGUUUAUCUA
ensembl:lncRNA novel transcript